GGGGAUUUAGCUCAGCGGUAGAGCACUUGCCUCGGGAGCGCAAGGCCCUGGGUUCAGUCCCCA
rnacentral:tRNA from 1 species